rnacentral:rRNA from 1 species
GAGUUUGAUCAUGGCUCAGGACGAACGCUGGCGGCGUGCUUAACACAUGCAAGUCGAACGGUGAAGGGGCCUGCUUUUGUGGGUCCUGGAUGAGUGGCGAACGGGUGAGUAGCAUGUGAGUAACCUGCCCCCUUCUUCUGGAUAACCGCAUGAAAGUGUGGCUAAUACGGGAUAUUCUGGGUCUGUCGCAUGGUGGGCCUGGGAAAGGUUUUUUCCGGUGGGGGAUGGGCUCGCGGCCUAUCAGCUUGUUGGUGGGGUGAUGGCCUACCAAGGCGGUGACGGGUAGCCGGCCUGAGAGGGUGGACGGUCACACUGGGACUGAGACACGGCCCAGACUCCUACGGGAGGCAGCAGUGGGGAAUAUUGCACAAUGGGCGCAAGCCUGAUGCAGCGACGCCGCGUGAGGGAUGGAGGCCUUCGGGUUGUGAACCUCUUUCGCCAGUGAAGCAGGCCUGCUCCUUUUUUGUGGGUGGGUUGACGGUAGCUGGAUAAGAAGCGCCGGCUAACUACGUGCCAGCAGCCGCGGUAAUACGUAGGGCGCGAGCGUUGUCCGGAAUUAUUGGGCGUAAAGAGCUCGUAGGCGGCUGGUCGCGUCUGUCGUGAAAUCCUCUGGCUUAACUGGGGGCUUGCGGUGGGUACGGGCCGGCUUGAGUGCGGUAGGGGAGGCUGGAACUCCUGGUGUAGCGGUGGAAUGCGCAGAUAUCAGGAGGAACACCGGUGGCGAAGGCGGGUCUCUGGGCCGUUACUGACGCUGAGGAGCGAAAGCGUGGGGAGCGAACAGGAUUAGAUACCCUGGUAGUCCACGCCGUAAACGUUGGGCACUAGGUGUGGGGGGCCUUUUCCGGGUUUUCCGCGCCGUAGCUAACGCAUUAAGUGCCCCGCCUGGGGAGUACGGCCGCAAGGCUAAAACUCAAAGGAAUUGACGGGGGCCCGCACAAGCGGCGGAGCAUGCGGAUUAAUUCGAUGCAACGCGAAGAACCUUACCAAGGCUUGACAUGUGCCGGUCUGCUCCGGAGACGGGGUUUCCUCCCUUGUGGGGGCUGGUUCACAGGUGGUGCAUGGUUGUCGUCAGCUCGUGUCGUGAGAUGUUGGGUUAAGUCCCGCAACGAGCGCAACCCUUGUCUCGUGUUGCCAGCACGUUGUGGUGGGGACUCGCGGGAGACUGCCGGGGUCAACUCGGAGGAAGGUGGGGAUGACGUCAAAUCAUCAUGCCCCUUAUGUCUUGGGCUUCACGCAUGCUACAAUGGCCGGUACAGAGGGCUGCGAUACCGUGAGGUGGAGCGAAUCCCUUAAAGCCGGUCUCAGUUCGGAUCGGUGUCUGCAACUCGACACCGUGAAGUUGGAGUCGCUAGUAAUCGCAGAUCAGCAACGCUGCGGUGAAUACGUUCUCGGGCCUUGCACACACCGCCCGUCA